AAGUUUCUAUAUAAUUAGAACACAACAUUUGCAGUUAUCGUAUUGAGCAUGCAGUGAGCAUCAACAUUAAACAAAACAUAACACUAGAAAAUAAAAAUUUAAUGAUUGAGGGCAUAGUUUGUGGCGUUGAUAUUCACCGACAAGCUAUGAAGUUUGUAUCUACACUGAUAAUAGUGAUAAUGUUCAUGCAAUAUGUUUAAUAAUACUUUUUUGUUUUAAAGAUUAACAAAACAGUUGGUGUCCGCAUUCGAGAUAAUGUUAUGUUGUUUAAUAGUAGCUGAAGUGCUGUUCUUGGUCCUUAACCUAUUUCAAAUUAUAGUGAAUAAAAAUACUUUUGAGGAAUUGUGUCCCCACAUUUGCUGUGUAUUUGUCUCUCUCACAUAUUUGUUUAUAUUCAACUAUGUCGGGCAGGAUGUAGAGGAUCACAAUAAUCGCAUAUUUUCUACAGCGUAAGAAAUUUUUCAUGAGAGAGAGAUAAAAUAUAUAAAAGUUCAUUCUUUAAAAGAAUGACGUCGAAUAUAAAAAUUAACUGCUGCAUAACAAACAUACGUAAAUGCUAAAAUUAAAAGAUAAAAAAUUCUUGUUUCAAAUUGGUAAUAUAUUAUCUACAAUUAUUAUAUGCAAUUUCAUAGGUACAACGUACAGUGGUACAAAGCCCCAAUUCAUGUUCAGAAGAUGAUAUUAUUCUUGUUACAAAAAGAAACCAUGAAAUUUAAUCUGAAUAUUGGUCGAUUAUUCAACACAUCUAUAGAAUCUUUUGCCGUGCUUGUUAAGGUCUCAAUAUCUUACUGUACUGCACUAUAUUCUACGCAAUGACAAAGCAAUAAGUUUAAUAACAGUAUAGUGAGAUAAUAAUUAAUAGAAAAGCAACAAUAUUUAUGCUUAGAAAGUAGGAUU
rnacentral:lncRNA from 13 species